GCGAGAAAACUUUAGCAAUGUGCGGAAAGACACGACAAGGUUAAUCCGAGUGGUUUCUGCUAAAGGAACCUUUGUCGGUCCUAGAAACACCGAUGAAUAAGGGGUGGGCAAGUUCUGGUGUCAGCCGCCGCGGUAAAACCAGCACCUCAAGUGGUCAGGACGAUUAUUGGGCCUAAAGCAUCCGUAGCCGGCUCUGUUAGUUUUCGGUUAAAUCUGUACGCUCAACGUACAGGCUGCCGGGAAUACUGCAGAGCUAGGGAGUGGGAGAGGUAGACGGUACUCGGUAGGAAGGGGGUAAAAUCCUUUGAUCUAUUGAUGACCACCUGUGGCGAAGGCGGUCUACCAGAACACGUCCGACGGUGAGGGAUGAAAGCCGGGGGAGCAAACCGGGAUUAGA
rnacentral:rRNA from 2 species